CCUACGGGAGGCUGCAGUGGGGAAUAUUGCACAAUGGGCGCAAGCCUGAUGCAGCCAUGCCGCGUGUGUGAAGAAGGCCUUCGGGUUGUAAAGCACUUUCAGCGGGGAGGAAGGCGGUGAGGUUAAUAACCUCAUCGAUUGACGUUGCCCGCAGAAGAAGCACCGGCUAACUCCGUGCCAGCAGCCGCGGUAAUACGGAGGGUGCAAGCGUUAAUCGGAAUUACUGGGCGUAAAGCGCACGCAGGCGGUCUGUCAAGUCGGAUGUGAAAUCCCCGGGCUCAACCUGGGAACUGCAUUCGAAACUGGCAGGCUAGAGUCUUGUAGAGGGGGGUAGAAUUCCAGGUGUAGCGGUGAAAUGCGUAGAGGUCUGGAGGAAUACCGGUGGCGAAGGCGGCCCCCUGGACAAAGACUGACGCUCAGGUGCGAAAGCGUGGGGAGCAAACAGGAUUAGAUACCCGAGUAGUC
rnacentral:rRNA from 1 species